ensembl:lncRNA
GCUAAAGCCUCCCCGUGCCUUUGGACCAGUGGUUUGGGUCAUGUUUUUUGUUGGAGUUCUAAUUCUGUUUUUUUUUUUUUGUGCUUUAGACCUCAAUCCACCUGCAUUUAUCCUGCAUUCUGCCUACUAUGCCAGCUCAACAAACUAAUCUCUCUGCUCUACCAACAUAUCUCUGGCCUGUUUGGUUUCCAGUGCAUAUAUUCUAACAAUCUUCAACAGCAAAGGAGAGAUGGGUUGUGUUGCUUGACUUUUGGGAAUAAACUAAUUUUAUUUGCAUACAUUUUUGUUCUGCUAUUAGGUCUACAACUGCUUUGGUUACAACAGAACAAUCUGGCCAAAUCAAGGACCCAGCAGAAACCGAUUCAGUUCACAAAGCUCUCUCUGGUCAAGGUGCACUUUUGGGACAGCAUGACCUUCACCUUCGAAAUCUCACAGAAAGCAAUGAAGCCAGCAAUGAAGACCUCACUCCACCUGCAUUCAUCCUGCAUUCUGCCUGCUACGCCCGUUCAACAAACUAAUCUCUCUGCUCAACAUAUUUCUGGCCUGUUUGGUUUGCAGCCCAUAUCUUCUAAUAAUCUUCACCCACAAAGAAGAGAUGGAUUGUGCUGCUUGCCUUUUGGGAAUAAACUAUUUUUAUUUGCAUAAUUUUUAGUCUGUGUUCUGCUUUUGGGUCCAAAACUGGGUUUGGUUACAACAGAUGUUCACAGAUGUGAUGAUGGCUGAUUUUAGUGAGAGGAUAAAGAUCUUUUUGAAGACCCUGGUGAACUGCUUGUACAAGGACCUCCAUGUAUAAAAGAAAGACAUUUAUUUUUCAUUCAGCCAGACAUUUGUAAGAGUGAAUACUGUACACACACUGAAAACAUUCAUUUACCCUUUCAUUUUCAUAUACACUGUCAUUUAUAAAUUAUAGUGAGAUGUUUUUAAUACAUAAUGCUUCCUUUGUACAGAACUUUACACAGUGCAUUUAUAUGAAAAUGAAAUAACAUAAUACAAAAUGCAGCAGAAAUAAUUUUUAUACCUAUAUAUUUUUCUUGUGAAUCCCAAUGUUCUUUACUGAAAUCUGCCCAAAUAAUUAUUUCAUAUUAAUAAUAUUGUUAUUAAUUAUAUUAAAAUAAUGAUGUAUUAAUAUAAAGUUGUUACGGGUUAGCUGGUGUGUAAUGAAGGGCGCAUGAGGAAGACGAUAUACAAAAGUGUACUUUUAAUAAUCGCAGGAGAAUAAGGGCACAUCCAACAUAACACAAUAUACAAACGUAAUCACGGAGGAGGAGGAACUAAAAAGACAGGGUAUUUAAGAACACGGGAGGUAAUCAGGGAAAUGGAGACAGGUGGGGAUUAAUCAAAUCAACCAAACAAGAACAGGAAAAAGACCAAUUAAGGGAACUCAAACUCUAUGUACGUAACAGUUCGCCCCCUCCCGGAACGGUGCGUCCUCGCACUGCAAGAGGAAUACCAGCGGAGGGAGGGUGGGGGUUCUGGAGGCGGGCAUGGGGCAGGCAAGGGGCAGCCAAAGAGGGAGCAUGGAGCAUGGAAACAGGGUGGAGUGGAUGGAGGGAGGAGCCAGGGAGGAGCCCGGAGCAGGAGGAGCCAGAUGGUGCUCCAGAGACCAGCCAGGAUGAAGAUCCACUGUGGAGUCCACAGCGGGAUGAGCCAUGGUGGAGGAGAAGACGACAACACCAGGGGGCCGACAGAUGGAGACUGCGCCGGUGGGUGAGGAGCCCAAGAUGGAGCAGAGCAGUCGCAGAGCCAGUGUGACACUGAGGGUCCGGAGGUCCAAGGGAGAGCUGAAGGCCCAGCUAACCAAUCACAGCACAUUUCAUAUUUCAGAAGGGGGGCCUCCAUUUGAAAUAUUCGAGCCGUUCAUGCCAGACUGGGGAGAGAGGUUUAGUAAUAAUGUAAAAUAUAUGAAAAAAUAAUUUUUUCAAACAUCCUAGUAUGAGAGCCUGUUCUAGACUUUGUAAAAGAGCAUAUUAGGACCCCUUUAAAAGCACUAAAUACACUUCUGUGUCUUUCUAAAGCAAGGCUGGAUUUACCUCUUAUCAUGACAAACAGGCAAAACUCAUUUUUGUUCAUGCAAGGCCCAGUUUGUAAAAGUAAACUAUUAAUUUAAAUUAUAGACAAGUGCAAUAUCUGCUUAAUGCAAAUGUAAUUGGCUUCAUUUACAAAAUUAGGUUCAAGUUUAUUUGUAUAGUGCUUUUUACAAUACAAAUCGUUACAAAGCAACUUUACAGAAAAGUUGAUUUUGUUCGCCUGUCAAUUCAAAUGUCUUUUGAUUGAGGUUAAUCACUGUCUGUCAGGUCAGUUUAUAGUCGUGAUAGCAAAGACACUGAUAAAUAAACACCUAAUCUUCAUCUUCAGAAAACCUCUUCAGCUUUUUAUUUUAUUUCUCAUCGAACACAAAACAAAUUCAAUCAUACUGGCAGGAAAUGUUCUUUAGAUUGUGUUUAUUUAUAUCCAUUUAUUUGUAUUAAACACCACGCUGACGGAAGGAAAGUAAUUUAAAAUAAGAUAAAAUUAGACAAAAAUUAUAUUUAAAGUAAAUAUAUAUAUAUAUUUUAAUCCAUUCAUUUAGCAACGGAUGUAGUGCUGGAUGCUGCUCGGACGCGCAGACAGUUAUGCUACACGCUUCAAAUAUCUCACUUAAAGGACCCUUCGAAGGGAGUAGGGCAUAGGGAUGCUCACUUCGGUUUGCUAUUCGCCCCAAAUGACCAAAGACAUAUAUACGUAGACGCCUCAUGACGUGCUGGAGCGUGAACCAGCGUCGGUGCCAUAUUGGUUGGGUCUCUCCACUCAACGCUAGCACCAGAGUCAAUCGGAGUUAACGGAGAGCGAGCAAUUAUGCCCGUAUUUUGUGCAGCUUACGGUUGCAAUAACCGACGCAAUAUUGAUACCAGAUCGCAUGGGAUUACAUUCCACAAGUAGGAUUGAACAAUAAUUUAGGUUAUUUUACCAUUUAUACAAUUAUGCCAUCAUGACUAACGUUACUUACAUGUAACGUUCAGCAGGAACUUGUAACGCAACUUACUCUCAUUAUCUCUUGCUGGGUUUUU